rnacentral:rRNA from 1 species
GACGAACGCUGGCGGCGCGCUUAACACAUGCAAGUCGAACGGAAAGGCCUGCUUUCCCUUGUGGAUUGCGGGUACUCGAGUGGCGAACGGGUGAGUAACACGUGAGUGAUCUGCCCCCAACUUGGGUAUAAGCCUGGGAAACUGGGUCUAAUUCCCGAUAGGACUGCAGGGUGGUGCCUGUGGUGGAAAACGAUUUUCUAGUGGUUGGGGAUGAGCUCGCGGCCUAUCAGCUUGUUGGUGGGGUAAUGGCCUACCAAGGCGGCGACGGGUAGCCGGCCUGAGAGGGUGGACCGCCCCAUUUGGACUGAGAUACGGCCCCGACUCCUACGGGAGGCAGCAGUGGGGAAUAUUGCACAAUGGGCGGAAGCCUGAUGCAGCGACGCCGCGUGGGGGAUGACGGCCUUCGGGUUGUAAACUCCUUUCGACCGCGAGGAAGCCACCUGGUUGGAAGGGUGGUGACGGUAGUGGUAGAAGAAGCACCGGCUAACUACGUG